CGGGGUAACCGGCCCACCAAGGCUACGAUCAGUAGGGGUUCUGAGAGGAAGGUCCCCCCACAUUGGAACUGAGACACGGUCCAAACUCCUACGGGAGGCAGCAGUGAGGAAUAUUGGUCAAUGGGCGAGAGCCUGAACCAGCCAAGUAGCGUGCAGGAAGACGGCCCCUAUGGGUUGUAAACUGCUUUUAUGUGGGGAUAAAGUGCGUGACGUGUCGUGCAUUGCAGGUACCACAUGAAUAAGGACCGGCUAAUUCCGUGCCAGCAGCCGCGGUAAU
rnacentral:rRNA from 1 species